AACUGUGUUUAAUUUUUGUAGGGGGCCAUGAGGAGAAAGACCCGGGGCAGGAGAGCCCUUGGGCAGGAAGGAGUUAAUGAGCCUGGGGAGGCAGAGGGAGAAGGGGUUUAAGGGCUCCACCAGCUUACCUUCCCAGAGCCCUCCUGGCAGGCUCUGAGGACGUCACUUACAAUGGAGUUGUUAGCAUGAGAAAGAAAGCCUUUCUACCCCUGGAUGUACUUCAGUGGGAACUGAAAGUGUCUGAGAAAUCACGGUUCAGGCUUGUGCCAGUGGGUGCAAGGAGUGGUUCUUAUGGAGGAGAAAGCUCAGUUCAUUUAGACUUGGCAUAGAAAUCGGAUUCCAUUGUUUCCUGGCGUGAACAUUGAUAUGGAGAUUCCUGCCCAUCCCCCCAGCCCAUCAAUAGGUUACCCCAUUACAUGGGUCGCAUAUGCUUUUCUUUUUUCUUUCUUUCUCUUCUUUUUUUUUUUUCCAGCUUCCUUUGUCCUCUGAGAAUCAGGCUCUCCGUAGAGGAGCAGGAUUUGUCAAGUUACCACCCUGUACAUUUUUCCAGCUCUGUAUCUUCAGACUUGUUGACCUGGGUGUACUUGAGCGGAAAUGAAGUCAUCCGAAUGCUGAAUUAGAAUAAUCGCAGGCCUCCAAGAAUGAAAUGGAAGCAGAGAUUAAAUGGUAGAGGGAAAGCUGGCAUUAAUAAGCAGCAGGAAAACUUUGCAUAAAAUAAAUAGGAGAUUUGAUAGAUUGAAUUUGUAUUUGCUAUUUCCAUUUUUCUCCACUUCGUAUUGUCUUCCUUGAGCUGAGUUGCUAGCAGAGUGGGGUGUGAUUUGCCCUAAGUCCACAUACCUUCUGCAGCCAGGGUGAUGGUCCUUUCUUCUCCAUGGGACAUUGGCGUAACCAGGACGUUUCCAGGAUGGAGGAAUCUGGGUGGAGGGGCCGUUACUGUGAAAGGUUGAUGAUUACUGGUUCCAAAGUGCAGUGGUUGGGGAUAGGGGGUGGGCACAGAUGGAAGGUAACACACAGCAGGCAAACAAGAAAUAUUAUUGAUGGAUUCCUGAUGGUAAGGAGAAGAACUAGGCUGGAUAAAGGUAGGGCGACCAACUGUCCUGGUUUGCCUAGGACUGAGGGGUUUCCAGGAACUCGGGACUUGCAAACGAGAAUAAGUUGCUCACCCUAAAUAAAUGGGAGUUGGGAGAAGUCGAGACGCUUGGCCUCCAACUCCAAAAGGCAUGAAACCUUUGACCACCUCCAGGCAGAUUUAAGUAUUCCUUCCUGCAUGUUCCAGAACACUUACUUCAUGCCUAUUUACAAGCUGCCUUCCUGAUUUAACUCAGCCACUGGGGUCAGGAGCCGGAACAGGCCAGUAAGUGUAGUGUUACCUGAAGUGGCCUGCGGAAGGCAGAACAGACAGACAGACACACAGUCCUGGGCAAGGGCAGCUCAUCAUUGACUUGGAGCGUAGGAUUCCUCUGGGCUCCGAUUUGGGCUCCUCCUUGGGGAUUAUUUCCACAUCUUUUGAAAAUAAACAGUUCUGCCCCAUGUAGCAAAAGAGUGAGCUUCGUGUAGUUAAAGAGCAAAAUAAGGAUUUAAUUAUAUUAAAAAAAACAACAACCCAGCAGAGUGGUUAGUUUACAGGAAGUCGUUUUUAGGUGGUCUGCAGUAGAAAAUGUAAUUUGCAGAAUCAGAUUAGUUGUAAAUUAGAGAUUUUUGGUAGCUGAGGUCGCUAACUGUCCUUUCUAAUUGGCAGCAGACGUAAAUAUUUUCAGACCUCCUUAUUGUUUGUAGAGUGUUAUUAUUUGAAAAAAAAAAAACAAUUUAAGGUGCUUUUCCCUUCAGGAAAUAUAAACGAGCGUAUGGAACGACCAGAGGCAGUCUUUCUGAUCUUAUUGUCAGUGUUCUUAGGGAGCGGCAGAAGGGCAGGGUUAGCGCCAGAGAGAGCCGUGCUGGGCGGGUUUGUGGGGGAGCUCGCCGAUUCUCUGAUUUAAAAAAAAACCAGAAAAA